AGCGGGAUGGGGGCAGUUUCUGCAGUUUGAAAGUCCCACUCAGAGCUGGUAAAUAUAAACAUAAUAGCUGGGAAUUUGUGUUUUUAAAGAAGAUGGAUUAUAGCAGACAACACUCGCAAAAUAUGGACAUCAGAGAAAGGAACAGACUUCACAGGGAAUCUCUUCGGCUACAGGAUCCAUUCCUACCCGGGGGGCCGUCAACAAAGAAGCCCUGUAGAGAAAGAACCAGACCUACAGACGGCAGAGAGAAGAGAUCUUCAGUGGCACACAUCAGAUCUGUCAGGGACAAAAGGCCAUUGGCCGUGAGCCAGCAGGCAAAUCUCAGUGCUGUUAGACCUGCUGAGAGGAACUGGGGGAAAGCUGUUAGCCAAAGUUCAUCUGCUCAAGUUAAAGUGGCCUCAGUGGUCAAAACUGCGGUAAAGAACAAUACAGAAUCUGCACCCAGAAAGAGGAG
rnacentral:lncRNA from 1 species